UCAAGCAAUCGAGCGUGAGACUAAUUAAAACUCAAUUCAGCUAAAAAAAUGCAAACGGGCGAGCUAAUUACCAUCGUUCUACUUCGAACCAUCACACAGAUUUAAUACUUAAGCAUGAACUACUUAUUCAUCUAUUACUACAGAUCCAGUACAUUUAGGAAAGAAGUAGAAGGAGAAAUGGACAAGAAGCUAAAUGGCUUGAGAAAAAUAUAAAAAUCAGGCUUCAAACAACGAUCCAUCUUUAUUGAAUUUCAGCGGAAACAACACCUUCCAUACAAAAACAUAUUCAAAGAUCCAUGUGCCAUUCAAAGUUCAAAGGAAUACCUGGAACAAUAAGAAACAAACAGCAGUCUUUCAGCAGAGAGAUUAGAGUAUCAGCAGCCUCUGAACAAGAACUAACAGCAGUUCAUCAACCAAUUUUUCAUGCAUAAAACCAGAAGAAAACAACAAUUUUCUAGCCUUUAAAACCAUAGAAAUAUGAAGAAUCAGCUAUAGAAGACCAGUAUUUUUUCCAUUUUUUGUGUUUCCUUACUAAUUUCUAAACAUCAGUAGUAAGUAUAGCCGUUUCUAAGUUUUUUUUUGUAUUCUAAUCUCUACUCAUAAUACUGAAAGCGAUCCUUAUACAGAUGACCUUAGGGCGGCAGAAUUGAUGUUACCAUUUUAUCAAUCAAUCCUUCUCUAAUUUUUAUUUUUUCACUUUUAACCCUGAAUUUUAAAACCAUUUAUUGAAACUACCCAAUCCCCUCUUUCUGAAAGCAUCCCAAUCUGUUUUAAAAGAUUCCUUCAAUUUAAAUUCUCCAAAUACCCUUUAGUCCCCUGCUAUUUACUCUCAGGAACUAAACAUGGGUCGAGCUAACCCAAAUGUCAAACCAAAGCCCUGGGCUUGCAACCCGAAUUAAUCCUCCCCUAUUUGGGCUUCUGACCUACGAAGCCCAAAGUUUUAAUUCGAAAAUGAAACCCACGAGAAGAACAGGCCAACGGAGUUUCAAAAAUUAGUGAAAUCAAUAAUUCCAAAGAAGACAAAAUAAAGGGAUACUUAAGCAAAUCAGACCAUGAAAUCAAAUGGACUAACAACAUGCUAACACGACUUAAUCCUAAAAUGCAAACAAAACAAUUCAAAACAGCAAAUAAGAAAGAGAAGGAAAAAACCAGAAAGAGACAAGGACGAGGAUAAAAUCAAAGAUGAAAAACAAAGAACAUAAAUACUUAAAGUAGGCAUACGGACAAUGGUCUUGGACGGACCUCCGCACUUUCGAUUUUGAACCGAAAUUGGAAUUAAUCACGUGUUCUUGUUGAGAACAGACGAAAAACAACAAUUUCAACCCUAAUCGUUCAUGGAAGCUCAAAAUUUUGGAGCAUUUUUUCUUUUUCUUCUGUUUUUCUUUUAGAUCCAAAACUUGUCCGAUUUGGUGAGGAUUUGAGUAGAUAUGGUGGUAGAUUGAGAAUCAUAUGUGGGUGGUGGUUGUAUGGUAAAGAUUUGGGGUUGAUUGGGCUUCGCCGCCUAUGAAGAUGGUGGAGGAAUUAAAGGCGGCGGACUAGGGUUAGAGACAGCCUGGUGAAAAGAUGAAGUGAAUUGGCUCUUAGGUUGUUUUGGAUGGUACUUAGACAAUUAUAAACGAAAAAGGGAAAGCAUUUAAGGCCGUU
rnacentral:lncRNA from 1 species